CGCGUAGGCGGUAAGAUGUGUGUGAUGUGAAAGCCCCGGGCUUAACCUGGGAAGCGCAUCGCAAACUAUCUAACUGGAGUAUAUGAGAGGGUGGCGGAAUUUCCGGUGUAGCGGUGAAAUGCGUAGAGAUCGGAAGGAACGUCAAUGGCGAAGGCAGCCACCUGGCAUAAUACUGACGCUGAGGCGCGAAAGCGUGGGAGCGAACA
rnacentral:rRNA from 1 species